rnacentral:rRNA from 1 species
GAAGUAAAAAGUCGUAACAAGGUUUCCGUAGGUGAACCUGCGGAAGGAUCAUUAUUGAAUACACAAGGACUGUCGCUGGCUAGGUUCAUUCUUAGCAUGUGCACGUCUACCACACUUUCCACACUUGUGCACCAAUUGUAGAUAACCCUUGAAAGAGGAUUCUAUGUCUUUUAUAAUCUCAUCUAAUGUAUGUCCUUAGAAUGUAACAAAAAAAUUUAUACAACUUUCAGCAACGGAUCUCUUGGUUCUCGCAUCGAUGAAGAACGCAGCGAAUUGCGAUAAGUAAUGUGAAUUGCAGAUUUUCAGUGAAUCAUCGAAUCUUUGAACGCACCUUGCGCUCCUUGGUAUUCCGAGGAGCAUGCCUGUUUGAGUGUCAUUAAAUUAUCAACCAUAGUCUUUAUUGGCUUUUGGCUUGGACUUGGGAUUUGCUGGCCUAGUCAGCUGUCCUUAAAAGCAUUAGCAAGUGAAGUAGACGGUGCACGGCCUCUGACGUGAUAAUGAUCGUCGUGGGCUGGAAGCGUCAUAAUGAAGCUUGCUUUAAUUUUGAAUUUGAAUUUGAAAUUCUAUUACCAUUUUGACCUCAAAUCAGGUAGGACUACCCGCUGAACUUAAGCAUAUCAAUAAGCGGAGGAAAAGAAACUAACAAGGAUUCCCCUAGUAACUGCGAGUGAAGAGGGAAAAGCUCAAAUUUUGAAUCUGGCAGUCUUUUGGCUGUCCGAGUUGUAAUCUAGAGAAGUGUCUUCCGCGCUGGAC